GACGCCAUCACAUUUGCUGCCAAUAGGAGAGGCGUAAUAAAAGAGACAUCAGAAUAUCCAACACUAGCAAAAAAAACGAUGAGCGCAUGACAUUACAAGUACGUCUGUACUGCAGAUAAGAAGGAAUCGGGGGUGGUUGAAUUGACCACACUUUGCGGAAGGGCGUUCCAUUCGCGAAUUGUUUUGGGCAGGAAAGAAGAACUAUAUGCGUUUGUUCUAGCAUGCGGCACUAAGAUUGUUUGAUUGUGCUUACCUCUGGUCAGGCGCGAUGUAUUAAAUUGCAUGUAGUUGUCAAACCUAAUUUUAGUGUGGUUGUUAACUAUGUUAUACAUUGUUUGUAGACGGUGCAUUUUGCGACGAGUUUCUAGUGUCUGGAGCCCAGAUCGUAAUC
rnacentral:lncRNA from 1 species